rnacentral:miRNA from 1 species
ACACACAGAGUAUAUAUAUGUGUGUGUGUGUGUGUGUGUGUGUGUGUGUGUAUACACACACACACACAUAUACAAUGUGUGUGUGUGU